rnacentral:rRNA from 1 species
ACACGUAGGGGGCGAGCGUUGUUCGGAAUCAUUGGGCGUAAAGGGCGUGCAGGCGGUCCUGCAAGUCCGGCGUGAAAGACCCCGGCCCAACCGGGGGGACGCGCUGGAAACUGCAGGGCUUGAGUACAGGAGGGGAUGCCGGAAUUCCAGGUGUAGGGGUGAAAUCUGUAGAUAUCUGGAAGAACACCAAUGGCGAAGGCAGGCAUCGGGCCAUGUACUGACGCUGAGACGCGAAGGUGCGGGGAGCAAACAGGUUUAGAUGCCCUGGUAGUCCGCACAGUAAACGAUGUGCACCAGGUGGCGGGGGGUCGACCCCCGGUACCGUAGCUAACGCAUUAAGUGCACCGCCUGGGGAGUAUGCUCGCAAGGGUGAAACUCAAAGGAAUUGACGGGG